CCUUGGUGACCCUCAUCCAUAUUUAAUUCCUUCCCCCUUGGUUGUGGGAGGAUCUGCGACCAUCAUGUGAUAUGACCCUUUCAGCGAUAUCCAGAGGAGAGGACCCCAGGAGAGAGGCCAUACCUGGACCCCUGACCUGUUAGCUUACAACCAGCAAAUGGGCACUGUGCAAGGAUGCUGAGUUACUGGCCAUCUAAAAGACAGAAAUAGAAAACUGACAGGCAAGACAUCCUGAGAGAGGAGCAACGGAGGCAAGCAUGAGCAUCACCGUGAGUGCAGCAAUCUCUCCCGGCUCUUGACUGGAUGUGAUAUGGGAGCUUUGGCGCAUUACUCACAAGUGACAGAACCAACGAGCUUCGUCUCCCAAGAGGCCACUGCAUCUGUUUAAAGGGAGCAGACACCAUGUAGAUCCACCCACCACCCCCGUGGAGGAGC